rnacentral:rRNA from 1 species
GAUGAACGCUAGCGGCAGGCCUAAUACAUGCAAGUCGAGGGGCAGCGCGGUAGCAAUACUGGCGGCGACCGGCGCACGGGUGCGUAACACGUAUGCAACCUACCUUCAACUGGAGGAUAGCCCGGGGAAACUCGGAUUAAUACUCCAUAACACAGGGAUCCCGCAUGGGAAUAUUGUUAAAGCUACGGCGGUUGAAGAUGGGCAUGCGUUCGAUUAGCUAGUUGGUGUAGGUAACGGCUCACCAAGGCUACGAUCGAUAGGGGGUCUGAGAGGAUGAUCCCCCACACUGGUACUGAGAUACGGACCAGACUCCUACGGGAGCAGCAGUAGGGAAUAUUGGUCAAAUGGGCGCAAGCCUGAACCAGCCAUGCCGCGUG